UUAUUGUUUUGAUGCUAUAUAAAUAAUAUUGAAUUGAAAUGUUUGUCUCAUUUUGUUUAAAUCAGCUUAAGUUGUCUGGAGGCAUCACUGUACCAGUCUGCCUAUGACUUGUCUCUGAUUCUCCUACUACUGUAAUUACACGUGAAAUCCAUUGUGGUUUGUGUUUUUGUUUGUUUGUUUGUUUGUUUGUAUUUUAUUAUUUUACCUGUUGUAACAUCUGGCUGGGGACUACAGAUGAAAAUGAGCUGACUGGCAUCUGAGCUGUUCUGGCUAACUGGCAUAUUUACUGUUAUGUUAACUAAUGUGCCCGGCCCCUGUUAACUUAUUAGUUCAUAUGUACACACAUAAAGGAGGAGAUGCUGUUAACUUAUUCAUUUUAAUCUAUAAUGUCGUCUCUGGGCAGAGGGACACAAAGGUGGAAGUGAUGGCUGAAUACCUGUAUUGUAGCGAGAUAAUUAUUAAUUUUUAAAGUCUAAAGGUUAGUUACACCCCCUCCAUGCAGUUCCGCUCUGCUUUCAUGUUACGUGCUCUCUUAUUGUCUCAAAACCUUUUGCACUGGAAAGAAUCAUCUGGUUUGGCUUUGGUAUGGUAUGGCCUUUAGGCAUUAGGGAACUGGGAGAUUACAACACCCUCCGAUCCAGGAAAGGACAUUUCUUUGUCGUCUCUGAGAUUGUAGAUGCUGUAUCCCAGCGGACUGAACAAACAUGAUGCAGAGGAAGCUGGUGCUGCUGGUUGGCAUCGGUGCCUUGACCAUCCUCCUGAUGUUGAGAUUGUAUAUGCUGUAUCCCAGCGGACUGAACAAACAUGAUAGAGA